AAAGUUAAAUUAUAGGUGAAACC
rnacentral:tRNA from 1 species